rnacentral:rRNA from 1 species
UACGUAGGGUGCGAGCGUUGUUCGGAAUUACUGGGCGUAAAGCGAACGUAGGCGGUGUUCCAUGUCAGAGGUGAAAGCCUGGGGCUCAACUCCAGAAUUGCCUUUGAAACGGGAACGCUUGAGUCCGAGAGAGGAUGGCGGAAUUCCUAGUGUAGAGGUGAAAUUCGUAGAUAUUAGGAAGAACACCAGUGGCGAAGGCGGCCAUCUGGCUCGGUACUGACGCUCAGGUUCGAAAGCGUGGGGAGCGAACAGG